rnacentral:rRNA from 1 species
GACAGAGGCCUCGAGCGUUAGGCGGAAUCACUGGGCUUAAAGCGUGUGUAGGCGGGCCCGUCAGUACCUUGUGAAAUCCCACGGCUCAACCGUGGAACCGCUGGGUAUACUGCGGGUCUUGGGCCGACUAGGGGCAGCCGGAACAAGCGGUGGAGCGGUGAAAUGCGUAGAUAUCGCGUGGAACGCCGAAGGUGAAAACAGGCUGCUGGGGUCGCGCCGACGCUGAGACACGAAAGCCAGGGGAGCAAACGGG